rnacentral:lncRNA from 1 species
AAAUGUAGUACGUGGGUGAAGCAGUUACAGAGGUGCGAGUGAACACAUGUCGAAGCACUUUUCGAGAAAUGUUCGAAGAUCAUCAGUUGUGAGUCGUGUUUGAAGCAGCUUUUUCAUUCAUAAACAGGGGACUUGGCGGCUACAUGGCAUGAACAUUUAGCCUUUGUUGAUGAGGAGAGGCUGCUUUACUCGCGACCACAGCUGAAGACGUUCGAAAGUUUCUCGAACAGUGUUUUCCUCACACCAUCUGCUCGACCUGCAAGUCUAAAGAAAUAGAGUUCCACAUUCAGUCCAUCCUCAUCAACCCGUCUUGAGGCUCUGAACAUCAACCCGUCUUGAGGCUCUGAACAUCAACCCGUCUUGAGGCCAGGCUCGUUAAAGCUGUGGUCAGACCACAGGACACAUUCAUAAAAUUAAUAUAUUGUUGAUUAAAAACAGGAAUAUUCUUAUUUCAGCCCAUCCUCCUGUUUUGAUAGUACUUAUAGGAAUGACGAGGACCACAGUACAUAUACUGACGUACAACGCACUUAGAAAGUAGAAAUCGGUACUCUUGACUUUAGACAAACCAGAAAACGGGUUUCUAUGUUGCAAAGACAAACUAAAUUAACCUUCCUAGGCCUAAUAUAAGCUACCUGAGGCCUAAUAUAGUACAUGUGUGUGUGCUAUACUAGGCCUAGGAAUAUUUAAGUUUUUUUUAGCUUCAUUUUUUAAAGUAAUACAAAGUAAAUAGUACAAAAUUCUAUCUAAUUGGUUAGUACGUCAAUAUUUGUACUAUGGUGCACAUAGUUACAAAAAGUACUAUCUAAACACGAGAAUCGGUUACUUAUUUAUAUCUUAAUAUUAUUAUAUAUUAAAGCUAUAUGUAUAGUUAGGUGUAGGUUAAGUUAGGUGUUUAGGUUCUGUUGGCGAUUAGUUGUAUUUGAAGUACGUGGGUGAAGCAUUUACAGUGUUGUGGUUCGAACAGAGGUCGUCAGUAAAGCAUUGUUCAAGAAAUGUUCGAACGUCCUCAGUUGUGAGUCGCGUGCAGUGUUUUUCAUUCAUAAACAAGGGGUUUGGCGGUUAGAUUAACGACCAUUUGGCCUUUGAUGAUGAGGCCAGACUGCUAAACAUUGAACACAUGCUCGCUCAUCCACUCUGCACUUAACACAUGACACACGACUCAUUACAUUUGAACUUUGUUGAGAACUGCUUCGUUCACUGUCCCUGUUCAUAGCAGUCCAUCCUCAUCAACAAAGGCCAAAUGUUCAUUCCAUGCAGCGGCCAAAUCUCGUAUAUGAAUGAAAAACGACAUACGAGUCACAAUUGAUGACGUUCGAACAUUUCUCCAACGGUUCUACACUGACGAUCUCUGUUCGAAUCACAACUCUAUAAAUGAUUCCCCAAACGUACUACAAAUAAAAUAAUUGCCAACAGACCUCAAAUACCUAACCUAUGCCCUAAAUAUGCACAAUAUGCUAAUAUAUUGUUACAUUAGCAAUGUAACAAUAUUAAGUUACAUUAUAUAAUACCAAUAAUACUAGUAACUAAUAAUAUUAAGUUACAUUUGAGAAAAUUCGUGUUUUGAAUCAACAGCAUUAUCAGAUUGGUGCUGCGUGUUUGGAGUGGACCGCUGGAUGGAUGAACAUAACCUGAGUGUAACUCAGUCCAAAGUGCAACUUUCUAAAUGAUUCAUUCUAAAUUGUAUUCGAAAUAAAUCCAAAUAAUUGCCAAUAAAAACAAAACGCCUGACCAAACCUACCCUAGAGACCCUAGAGCUAACUAUGCACUAAACUAUAAUAUGUAAUAAGUUUUGCAGGCGAUGAGUCACAAUAACGUGGCUGAAGUAUGUUGACCAGACCACACACUAGAAGUUGAAGGGGCGACGACGUUUCGGUCCGUCCUGGACCAUUCUCAAGUCGAUUGUGAUAUCAAGUCGAUAAGUUUUAUUUACAUUUGAGAAAAAAAACAAAUUUUGAUGACACGAAACAAUGUAGCGUGGCAACGUUGCCGAGCACAGCCUGGUGCCAUAUUACACAAGCUGACACUCUCCUCAGAUGGCAAAGCCUUGCCGUGCCUAUUGAUACAUUGUGCAGCCGUGCAGUGCCCAUAAUGUUCAAGAAAUAUAAAAAUAAAUGAAACUGCAGAAGGCCUAUUGGCCUAUACGAUGCAGCUCUUAUUAAUUAUAUCCUUUCAAAUUCAAAACUUAAUUUCUUUGAGCACGUGUAAAAUGAAUGGUUUAUAAAAAUACACAUUCUAUGUUUAAUUUUAAAAAGACUUGUUUCAGUGAACUUCAGUUUUAUAUAUCAUUUUAAUGAAUGAACUUCUAUAUUUGUACAUAUUGAAAAGCUUUAAAGAUGGCCCAGAAAAUAUAAAAGUUUGUAAAUAAUUGUAUAUAGGACCUCCAUCCGAGAGAUUACAUAAACAGCUUGAUAAUGAUUGGUCAUAGAUGUUGCGUUGUGGUGGCAUAGCCUUUCGACCAAUCAAACGUCGAUUCCACUGACGUCACUUCCAAUUAACCAAUCAGAAUUCAUUUCCAGGCAGUAAGUCACGAUAAAAUUUGAAAAUUUGAAACCCAACUGCCACACAUCCGAAAAUAUAGGAAAUGAGGACGUUUGUGUCCAUCGUGCGCCAUUAUCACAACCCGUCCUCCUUGUUAGGUAGUAAUUGUUGUAACUAUGAGCACCAUAGUACAUAUAUUGACGUAAUGGACAAUUAUAUAGUAGAAUUGGGUACUAUUCACUUUAUAAAGUCCGGAAAAAAAUAAUGAUAAGAACCAAGCUAAAAUAUUCCUAGGGCCUAGUAUAGUAAAUAAAUGUACUAUAUUAAGCCUCAGAUAGCCUGUAUUAGGCCUAGGAUGGUUAAGUUAGGGUUAUAAAUACAAAACCUUUUCCGGUGUGUAGAAAUUCAGUAGUACCAAAUUAGUAAUAGGCAUCCAUCAGUCUCGGGAGACUAUGGAGUUGUCGGUCUGGAGUGGCCUCUCCAGGGCGCACAGCCAGGGUAGGUACCAAAUUACACUUUCUAAUUGUCCACUACGUCCAUAUAAGUACGACGGUCCACAUGACUACUACAAGUACCAACUAAACACGUAGCUGGGCUGGCUCAUCAAGUCUUCAACGGACCUCUGAACAUCUUCCUCGACGUUCAGGCGUCACGGCUGCGCGCUCCAGCUCAGCUUCUGCGAGAGGCGAGUGUCUUAUCUUAAGCAGGACCUUCACAAAUACUUAAAUAUACAGUUACGAUAUUUAAAAGCGUUUUCUCUGUGAUACGUUGUAGCUCACAGCUGCGUCUUGGGCUCCUCUUAAUCCCGGCUUCGGAUUAUUAUUGGUAGCACUCUAUAGCUUGGUCACGUAUGGAUGACACAACGCAUUUGGCAUGACACUUUUUUUUAAUAUUAAUCCAGCUGGGGCUCAUGGAAGCCCUAGAAAAAUUUAAAGCUCUAGGAAGACCUGGGGCUCAAGGAAGAUCUGGGGCUCUAGGACGAUCUGGGGCUCUAGGAAGAUCUGGGGCUCUAGGAAGAUCUGGGGCUCUAGGAAGAUCUGGGGCUCUAGGAAGAUCUGGGGCUCUAGGAAGAUCUGGGGCUCUAGGAAGAUCUGGGGCUCUAGGAAGAUCUGGGGCUCUAGGAAGAUCUGGGGCUCUGGGAAGAUCUGGGGCUUGUGGUAGAGCUGGGACUGGCGGGAAAGCUGGGUUUCGAGCGGGUUGCACUAAGACCCAAGUCCACUGUAAGGUCUGUAGGUAUUUAUAGUGUAGUAUGUAGGGACUCCGCGGUCGAAACCUGACCUCCUUGAGGGACCAGCUGGCCUCUGUGCAGGGGACCAGCUGGCCUCUGUACAGGGAACCAGCUGGCCUCUGUACAGGGAACCAGCUGGCCUCUGUACAGGGAACCAGCUGGCCUCUGUACAGGGAACCAGCUGGCCUCUGUACAGGGAACCAGCUGGCCUCUAUACAGGGACCAUCUGGCCUCUGUACAGGGAACCAGCUGGCCUCUAUACAGGGACCAGCUGGCCUGUAUAGUGUUACCCCCGUGUGGAGUGUCGUCAGCACUAGCCCAAGGGACGGGUAACACUUGCUGGCCGGCUACCCAGUAACACUUGGGCAAGACCUUAUGAAGAGUUGGAAGACAUUCUGUUGACUUGCUGGCUGAUGUGUUUUAGAGUUUAGAAACAUUUACCUGACUGAUGAAUUGUGAUUAAAUUACUACAUGUAAACGUUUAUAUGUAAGGCGAUUUCUAAAAUAAAAAGAACGUUUAGAA